UACGAAGGGGGCUAGCGUUGCUCGGAAUGACUGGGCGUAAAGGGCGCGUAGGCGGAUGGCACAGUCAGAUGUGAAAUUCCCGGGCUUAACCUGGGGGCUGCAUUUGAUACGUGUGAUCUAGAGUGAGGAAGAGGGUCGUGGAAUUCCCAGUGUAGAGGUGAAAUUCGUAGAUAUUGGGAAGAACACCGGCGGCGAAGGCGGCGACCUGGUCCUUGACUGACGCUGAGGCGCGAAAGCGUGGGGAGCAAACAGG
rnacentral:rRNA from 1 species